CACGGAAAGCGGCCGUGCGCGUCCCGCUCGCCACCACACUUACACGCUCUACGCAAACUUGCAAACUACUUCGCGGUACUAACUCAGUAAAAACAAACAAGAAAACAAUUUCAAAAAGUGAACAGUGAGUGAUAGUGUUGUUCCCAAAAAGUUUACUCAGUGCCACGGAGAUUUUAAACUUUUAAGAUACCUAUACUGCAAUAUAGCUAUGAUACACCAGGGCUGCCAACUGUAAUCGGAUUGGCGCGUGGAGUCCGCUCAGGUUGCACGGACAUCAAGGCUUAAAUGGAGCGAAGGAAAUUAAAUUAAAAACUAAAGUCCCUUGCACGAUACGCAAAUACUCGCACCGACUGCCGAUGUUUGCUCUCGGAACGUUAUCACUUGAUAAGUUAGAACACAAGCCGCGAGCAAACAACGUUAUCAUGGUAACGUUCUUACCGGAGACUUGGAGCAGCUCAGACUCCGCUCCGCUCGGCCGCGCCGAACACCACACCUGAGGCCACACUCGCUGCUUGCUCCCUCGCCAGCGGAUGGCGCGAUGGAAGUUGGACACAGAUAAACCGGUGAAAGUGACAAUUGAUGUGACUGUUCAGUGUGAUUAGUGUAAAUAGAUAAACCAAAGAGCAAACCAAAGCUAAUUAGCUCAAAUUCCUAGUCGAAAGAGAUUUUACGUCGUCAAACUGGAGGAGCUAAAGACUUUAGAUACGGACCUUGUAGACAAUGUCAGUGCAAAGGUGGAGAAGUGC